GAUGAACGCUGGCGGCGUGCCUAAUACAUGCAAGUCGAGCGAACGGACGAGAGGCUUGCUUCUCUGAUGUUAGCGGCGGACGGGUGAGUAACACGUGGAUAACCUACCUAUAAGACUGGGAUAACUUCGGGAAACCGGAGCUAAUACCGGAUAAUAUUUUGAACCGCAUGGUUCAAAAGUGAAAGACGGUCUUGCUGUCACUUAUAGAUGGAUCCGCGCUGCAUUAGCUAGUUGGUAAGGUAACGGCUUACCAAGGCAACGAUGCAUAGCCGACCUGAGAGGGUGAUCGGCCACACUGGAACUGAGACACGGUCCAGACUCCUACGGGAGGCAGCAGUAGGGAAUCUUCCGCAAUGGGCGAAAGCCUGACGGAGCAACGCCGCGUGAGUGAUGAAGGUCUUCGGAUCGUAAAACUCUGUUACUAGGGAAGAACAUAUGUGUAAGUAACUGUGCACAUCUUGACGGUACCUAAUCAGAAAGCCAUGGCUAACUACGUG
rnacentral:rRNA from 1 species